rnacentral:rRNA from 1 species
GAGUUUGAUCAUGGCUCAGAUUGAACGCUGGCGGCAGGCCUAACACAUGCAAGUCGAACGGUAACAGGAAACAGCUUGCUGUUUCGCUGACGAGUGGCGGACGGGUGAGUAAUGUCUGGGAAACUGCCUGAUGGAGGGGGAUAACUACUGGAAACGGUAGCUAAUACCGCAUAACGUCGCAAGACCAAAGAGGGGGACCCUCGGGCCUCUUGCCAUCGGAUGUGCCCAGAUGGGAUUAGCUUGUUGGUGGGGUAACGGCUCACCAAGGCGACGAUCCCUAGCUGGUCUGAGAGGAUGACCAGCCACACUGGAACUGAGACACGGUCCAGACUCCUACGGGAGGCAGCAGUGGGGAAUAUUGCACAAUGGGCGCAAGCCUGAUGCAGCCAUGCCGCGUGUAUGAAGAAGGCCUUCGGGUUGUAAAGUACUUUCAGCGGGGAGGAAGGGAGUAAAGUUAAUACCUUUGCUCAUUGACGUUACCCGCAGAAGAAGCACCGGCUAACUCCGUGCCAGCAGCCGCGGUAAUACGGAGGGUGCAAGCGUUAAUCGGAAUUACUGGGCGUAAAGCGCACGCAGGCGGUUUGUUAAGUCAGACGUGAAAUCCCCGGGCUCAACCUGGGAACUGCAUCUGAUACUGGCAAGCUUGAGUCUCGUAGAGGGGGGUAGAAUUCCAGGUGUAGCGGUGAAAUGCGUAGAGAUCUGGAGGAAUACCGGUGGCGAAGGCGGCCCCCUGGACGAAGACUGACGCUCAGGUGCGAAAGCGUGGGGAGCAAACAGGAUUAGAUACCCUGUAGUCCACGCCGUAAACGAUGUCGACUUGGAGGUUGUGCCCUUGAGGCGUGGCUUCCGGAGCUAACGCGUUAAGUCGACCGCCUGGGGAGUACGGCCGCAAGGUUAAAACUCAAAUGAAUUGACGGGGGCCCGCACAAGCGGUGGAGCAUGUGGUUUAAUUCGAUGCAACGCGAAGAACCUUACCUGGCCUUGACAUCCACGGAAGUUUUCAGAGAUGAGAAUGUGCCUUCGGGAACCGUGAGACAGGUGCUGCAUGGCUGUCGUCAGCUCGUGUUGUGAAAUGUUGGGUUAAGUCCCGCAACGAGCGCAACCCUCAUCCUUUGUUGCCAGCGGUCCGGCCGGGAACUCAAAGGAGACUGCCAGUGAUAAACUGGAGGAAGGUGGGGAUGACGUCAAGUCAUCAUGGCCCUUACGACCAGGGCUACACACGUGCUACAAUGGCGCAUACAAAGAGAAGCGACCUCGCGAGAGCAAGCGGACCUCAUAAAGUGCGUCGUAGUCCGGAUUGGAGUCUGCAACUCGACUCCAUGAAGUCGGAAUCGCUAGUAAUCGUGGAUCAGAAUGCCACGGUGAAUACGUUCCCGGGCCUUGUACACACCGCCCGUCACACCAUGGGAGUGGGUUGCAAAAGAAGUAGGUAGCUUAACCUUCGGGAGGGCGCUUACCACUUUGUGAUUCAUGACUGGGGUGAAGUCGAAACAAGGUA